CCCUUAGAUGUUCUGGGCUGCACGCGCGCUACACUGGUGCAUCCAACAAGUUUUUUCCUUGUUCGAGAGGACUAGGUAAUCUUAUGAGAAUGCAUCGUGAUGGGGAUAGAUUAUUGCAAUUAUUAACCUUCAACGAGGAAUUCCUAGUAAGCGCGAGUCAUCAGCUCGUGCUGAUUACGUCCCUGCCCUUUGUACACACCGCCCGUCGCUGCAACUGAUUGGGUGACCUGGUGAACAUCUUGGACCGGCCCACUCAAUUUCGAGAGGACUGGAAAAGGCCGUAAAUCAGGUACAUCUAGAAAUUGCAAAAGUCGUAACA
rnacentral:rRNA from 1 species